CCCCGGUCCUCCCGGCCGGCGCAGCCGAAUUCUGGGCGUGUAACCAUGAAGUCCCUUCCGGAGAAGACAAGGCCCUCGGGCAGGUGGGAGCGCGCACGCUCGUUGUUUCUUGUAGGCCACGGACAUUUCCCUGGGAUCGGUGGAGCCCAAUGCGAGGCUUGAACUCACGAUCCUGAGAUCAAGACUUGAGCUGAGAUCAAGAGCUGACGAUUCACUGACUGCACCCCCCAGGUGCCCCUGUCUGUCUGGUUUCAGUGACAUUAGAAGAAACCACUGCACUCCACAGUUCUUGGAUUCCUUAUACUGUUCGUGUUGGCCUAUGGCUUCUUUGUCCCUCAUAUCUUCCCUUCAGUGGAUUCCCUAUUCCAUGUGGACAUAGCUUCUCUGCUCUCUUCUCCUGGUUGCUGGUGCCAGACUCUGAGACCCCCACGUCCUAGUAGCUGUGGCUCCUAAGACGGAGGGAACUGGGUUUCUGAAACCCUGUUAAAUGCUGAGGACGCAGUGGUGAAAAUGGUCAGUAGGAUGGCUGCUAUCUCUGCCUUUGUGCAGCUUUCUACAAUUUCGUACUGAUUAACAGCCAUCCAAGGAAUGGGAACAGAGGCCUGACUCAGUGUGGUCCCUGGAGCGAAGAGAAGGCAAUGUUGAAGCUCUCCACCAGGUCUAUGACGCUGAGGCUUUAGGGUUGGAAGAAGCACAGCUGAAGGAGGCCGGGUUACUGAAUCACUGAGUGGAGGAAAACCACCUGCUAACUAGGCACAGCUUCGCUGGAACAGUUAUGUGGGUGAAAAAGAAAACUGUGGAAUUUGGGGGUUUACUUGUUACAGCAUAACCCUAACAGAUAGAAUGGCAUUCUUUCGAGUGCUAGAAAUUUUGGCAGCACACGCAGAAAGAUUAAGUGGCGCACAUAAGAGUUACACUAUUAUACUGAUCACAUGGCAGCACUGUGGCAUGUUCGAGUGAACCAGCUUCCGUCCCGAGACUCUGUUGGAGCCUCACGAGGCACAGUUCACCCAGGUCUGGUAGAUACUACACCUUUUUGUCUCUUCGUGUGUAUCAAGUUGUGCCUGUAGCACAGGGAAACUGCAUGCAGCCUAGCUCCACAUUCUGUUUGCCCAGAAACUGUUACUGGUGUGAAUCAUAGUUGUAGCAAAAGAACACUUCAUCUCUCAGUGAAGGAGCCCUGAGGAGUCACCGCGGUCCUCCAAAACCACAGAUGUAUGGCUGCCUGGCCAAGACGAGUUGCUGGCAAUCCAGAAAACAAAACAAAACAACAAACCCCCAAGUGUGGACACCCUAAACAGGGAAAUGUAAUUUAUUAAACCUUUUCCGUAGUUUUUGAACAUUUAGGUUGUUACCAGUUGUUUUUCUUUUUACUGCCAUAUAUAAUGAUAUACAAUAGGACUACCUUUGAAUAAACAUCUUUGCCCA